GCAGGGGUACCCGAGUCAGGUCUAAGGGGCGGGGUUCAGGUCCCCGUGGCGUAGGCCUUCGUGGGUUCAAAUCCCACCCCCUGCACCA
rnacentral:tRNA from 1 species